rnacentral:sRNA from 1 species
GGCCUAACACUCUUUGAUCAAGGGAGCCCAAUGGGUUUUCUUGCAGCGUACACGCCUUAUAUGAAGGACGUACAAAACAAGAAACAGGGCACCCACCUGUAUAUAACAGGCC